ACGUAGGGACCAAGCGUUGUUCGGAUUUACUGGGCGUAAAGGGCGCGUAGGCGGCGCGGUAAGUCACUUGUGAAAUCUCUGAGCUUAACUCAGAACGGCCAAGUGGUACUGCAGUGCUAGAGUGUGGAAGGGGCAAUCGGAAUUCUUGGUGUAGCGGUGAAAUGCGUAGAUAUCAGGAGGAACACCUGUGGCGAAAGCGGCGCACUGGACCACAACUGACGCUGAGGCGCGAAAGCUAGGGGGGCAAACAGGA
rnacentral:rRNA from 1 species